ACGUAGGGGGCAAGCGUUAUCCGGAAUUAUUGGGCGUAAAGAGUGCGUAGGUGGUUUUUUAAGUGUGAGGUGAAAGGCAAUAGCUUAACUAUUGUAAGCCGUGCGAACUGGAAGACUUGAGUGCAGGAGAGGAAAGUGGAAUUCCUAGUGUAGGGGUGAAAUGCGUAAAUAUUAGGAGGAACACCAGUGGCGAAGGCGACUUACUGGACUGAAACUGACGCUGAGUCACGAAAGCGAGGGGAGCAAACAG
rnacentral:rRNA from 1 species